AUGGCGCUGAUCGGCAUCGACGACACGGCGGCGGUACUCGAGGAACUGCGCUGCAGGAAGGACAAGGACCCCGAUCAUUUCCACCAGUACGAGGUCGACGCCGCGGGCCAUCUAAAGAUGCUCUUCUGGACCGUCGCCGACCCUCGCUUCAACAGCCACGACCACACCGACGACGUGGUCGUCAUCGACACCGUGUUCCGGACGAACAGGUAUGGCGCGGCCUUCGUCCCCAUCAUCGGCAUGAACCACCACCGCCGCCCCGUGCUCCUCGGCAGCGGCGUCCUCACGGACCAGUCCCCUGACUCCUAUGUCUGGCUGCUGCGAGCCUUCAUGAGGUCUACAUACCAGGUGAGGCCCAAGUCUGUGAUCACCGACGGCGGCGACGCGGUUGUCCACGCCGUCGAGACCGUGCUCCCGCAGUCCAACCACCGGAUCUGCUCGUGCCACUUGGAGCGAGGCAUCCGGGAGCAUCUUGAUGGCUAUUCAGCCAAGGUCGGCUUCAGGUCGCUGAUGUUCGAGGACAAUUGCUCGCCUGUGGAGUUCGAGGAGCGAUGGCACAGUUUCGUGGCCAGACACAGGACGACGAGCAACCAGGAGUGGCUCUGCAAGAUGUACGUGAAGAGGGAGCUCUGGACUGCCGCCUUCGUCGGUGACAAGUUCUUCCUCGGCAUGGUGACAGACCAGAGCACGGAGUGCUUCUGCCUAUCUUCAGGCCUGCGCACGAGCUUCUCCGAGGACAUGACGCUGCUCGCCCUGCUCCGGCGCGCGGACUUCAGGUGCAAGUACAUGCGCACGCAGGAGGCCGAGCUCGACAACGAGGCUGACAAGUCCCGCGUUGCACUGACGACCGAGCACGAAUGCCUGGAGAAAGACUUUGCGCGGUCCUUCACGCCGGCCAACUUCGCCAUCGUGCUGGAGGAGAUCGAGGCGCUGGACGACUUUGAGAUCAUCGACACCCUGAGCAGCAGCUCCGACGGCUCGGGCGACAAGGUCUACACGCUGGAUCUCCACGGCGAGCUCUAUAACGUGUUGCAGUCCGACGGCGGUGACGACCAGGACGACGUCUUCAAGUGCAGCUGCCGGAAGAUGGAGCGCGACGGCUUGCCAUGCCGGCACAUCCUCCACGUGCUGCAGCACGAAAAGGCGUCCUCCAUACCGAAGUGCUGCAAGCUGGGAUGGCUGCUGCGGCGGGGUGACACAAGGCACGAGAGGCUCGGCGAGAUGGAGGCGCUGGGGCGGAAGGUGUUCGACCUGGCGUCGCAGGACGCCGAGGAGUUUGAGGAGAUCAAGGGGUUCUUGCAGGACUGGCUGCAGCAGCGAAACUACUCUGCACGCGACAUUGCAGACAUGAUUUUGAGCCAUACCGUCUUUGGAGGGUGCUGA
rnacentral:rRNA from 1 species